rnacentral:rRNA from 1 species
UAGUGGCGAACGGGUGAGUAACACGUGAGCAAUCUGCCCCUGACUCCGGAAUAACUACGGGAAACUGUAGCUAAUACCGGAUAUGCGCCGAACAGGCAUCUGUAUCGGUGGGAAAGAAUUUCGGUCAGGGAUGAGCUCGCGGCCUAUCAGCUUGUUGGUGAGGUAACGGCUCACCAAGGCGACGACGGGUAGCCGGCCUGAGAGGGUGACCGGCCACAUUGGGACUGAGACACGGCCCAGACUCCUACGGGAGGCAGCAGUGGGGAAUAUUGCACAAUGGGCGCAAGCCUGAUGCAGCAACGCCGCGUGAGGGAUGACGGCCUUCGGGUUGUAAACCUCUUUUAGCAGGGAAGAAGCGAAAGUGACGGUACCUGCAGAAAAAGCGCCGGCUAACUACGUGCCAGCAGCCGCGGUAAUACGUAGGGCGCAAGCGUUGUCCGGAAUUAUUGGGCGUAAAGAGCUCGUAGGCGGUCUGUCGCGUCUGCUGUGAAAUCCCGAGGCUCAACCUCGGGCUUGCAGUGGGUACGGGCAGACUAGAGUGCGGUAGGGGAGAAUGGAAUUCCUGGUGUAGCGGUGGAAUGCGCAGAUAUCAGGAGGAACACCGAUGGCGAAGGCAGUUCUCUGGGCCGUAACUGACGCUGAGGAGCGAAAGCGUGGGGAGCGAACAGGAUUAGAU